GACGAACGCUGGCGGCGCGCUUAACACAUGCAAGUCGAGCGAGAACCAGAGCUUCGGCUCUGGGGACAGCGGCGAACGGGUGAGUAACACGUGGGUAAUCUGCCCUCGAUACUGGGAUAGCCCGGGGAAACCCGGAUUAAUACCGGAUGGCCCUUCGAGUCCUCGGACUUGAAGGAAAAGGUAGCUUCGGCCUCCGAUCGAGGAUGAGCCCGCGGCGGAUUAGCUUGUUGGUGAGGAACGGCUCACCAAGGCGACGAUCCGUAGCUGGUCUGAGAGGACGAUCAGCCACACUGGGACUGAGACACGGCCCAGACUCCUACGGGAGGCAGCA
rnacentral:rRNA from 1 species